GUUUGCUGUUGUGCGUUCUAAAAUCAUUCAACUGAAGCUCAUAGUUUCUCAGAGAAAUCCUUCCUCAACCAAGAGAGUCCUUAAAGCUGACCAUAUUGUGACGACUAUGUUUGUUGGGAAUUUCAUUGGCAUUAUAUGUGCCCGAUCCCUCCAUUACCAAUUUUAUUCUUGGUACUUCUAUUGCUUACCAUAUUUAUUGUGGAAAGCACCAUUUCCAACCCUCCUACGUUUAUUCUUGUUCGCAGCUGUAGAGUUUUGCUGGAAUGUCUUCCCCUCCAACACUUACUCAUCACUUGUCCUCCUCUGUGUCCAUUUGAUCAUAUUGGCCGGUCUAUGGAUAAGUUCACCAGAAUAUCCGUACGUCGAAGAAAAAACAACUGAUAAAUCUACACCUAAGAAGAAGGCCAGAUAAAGCACUAUCUGGUUAUGCAUGUGAAUGGCAAAAUCCACCCCCCCAGGCGUCAUUGGGUAUUACUGAGAGGAGUUUUUGUUUUUCUGUUUCUUUUCGUAGUGUUAAUGCUUACAGUUUUGUUAGAUGGUAUACAAAACCAGAAAGCUGGUAACAACCACACGAAGAUCAUCCAAUGG
rnacentral:misc_RNA from 1 species